AACCGGAUUAGAUACCCGGGUAGUCCAUGCCGUAAACGAUGAGUGCUAAGUGUUGGAGGGUUUCCGCCCUUCAGUGCUGCAGCUAACGCAUUAAGCACUCCGCCUGGGGAGUACGACCGCAAGGUUGAAACUCAAAGGAAUUGACGGGGGCCCGCACAAGCGGUGGAGCAUGUGGUUUAAUUCGAUGCUACGCGAAGAACCUUACCAGGUCUUGACAUCUUCUGCCAACCUAAGAGAUUAGGCGUUCCCUUCGGGGACAGAAUGACAGGUGGUGCAUGGUUGUCGUCAGCUCGUGUCGUGAGAUGUUGGGUUAAGUCCCGCAACGAGCGCAACCCUUAUUGUUAGUUGCCAGCAUUCAGUUGGGCACUCUAGCAAGACUGCCGGUGACAAACCGGAGGAAGGUGGGGGAUGACGUCAAAUCAUCAUGCCCCUUAUGACCUGGGCUACACACGUGCUACAAUGGACGGUACAACGAGUCGCGAAACCGCGAGGUCAAGCUAAUCUCUUAAA
rnacentral:rRNA from 1 species